rnacentral:rRNA from 1 species
AUACGGAGGAUGCGAGCGUUAUCCGGAUUUAUUGGGUUUAAAGGGAGCGUAGGCGGGAGCUUAAGUCAGCGGUUAAAUGGUGCGGCUCAACCGUGCCCUGCCGUUGAAACUGGGUUUCUUGAGAGUGCAAGAGGCGGAUGGAAUUCAUGGUGUAGCGGGGGAAUGCUUAGAUAUCAUGAAGAACUCCGAUCGCGAAGGCAGCCUUCCGGCCCGUCAACGACGCUCAUGCUCGAAGGUGCGGGUAUCAAACAGGAUUAGAUACCCUGGUAGUCCGCACAGUAAACGAUGGACACCCGCGGUUUGGCCUAUAUGGCUGAGCCGCCAAGCGAAAGCGUUAAGUGUCCCACCUGGGGAGUACGCCGGCAACGGUGAAACUCAAAUGAAUUGACGGGG